rnacentral:rRNA from 1 species
AACGUCGCGGCGUGCUUACCAUGCACGUCAGACGAUGAACAAUUCGGUGGGGAUUAGUGGCGAACGGGUGAGUAACACGUGGGCAAUCUGCCCUGCACUCUGGGACAAGCCCUGGAAACGGGGUCUAAUACCGGAUACUGACCCGCUUGGGCAUCCAAGCGGUUCGAAAGCUCCGGCGGUGCAGGAUGAGCCCGCGGCCUAUCAGCUUGUUGGUGAGGUAAUGGCUCACCAAGGCGACGACGGGUAGCCGGCCUGAGAGGGCGACCGGCCACACUGGGACUGAGACACGGCCCAGACUCCUACGGGAGGCAGCAGUGGGGAAUAUUGCACAAUGGGCGAAAGCCUGAUGCAGCGACGCCGCGUGAGGGAUGACGGCCUUCGGGUUGUAAACCUCUUUCAGCAGGGAAGAAGCGAAAGUGACGGUACCUGCAGAAGAAGCGCCGGCUAACUACGUGCCAGCAGCCGCGGUAAUACGUAGGGCGCGAGCGUUGUCCGGAAUUAUUGGGCGUAAAGAGCUCGUAGGCGGCUUGUCACGUCGGUUGUGAAAGCCCGGGGCUUAACCCCGGGUCUGCAGUCGAUACGGGCAGGCUAGAGUUCGGUAGGGGAGAUCGGAAUUCCUGGUGUAGCGGUGAAAUGCGCAGAUAUCAGGAGGAACACCGGUGGCGAAGGCGGAUCUCUGGGCCGAUACUGACGCUGAGGAGCGAAAGCGUGAGGAGCGAACAGGAUUAGAUACCCUGGUAGUCCACGCCGUAAACGGUGGGCACUAGGCGUGGGCGACAUUCCACGUCGUCCGUGCCGCAGCUAACGCAUUAAGUGCCCCGCCUGGGGAGUACGGCCGCAAGGCUCACACUCAAAGGAAUUGAUGGGGGCCCGCACAAGCGGGGGAGCAUGCGGCUUACUUCGACGCAACGCGAAAAACAUGACCAAUGCUUGACAUACCUCGUAAAGUUGCAGAUAU